UAUCUCCCAAUACGGGCAUCACUACAAUAAGCUUAUACAAGAAAUCAAGCAAAAUCGGUACAACCACAAGAUUUGGUAAAUUAGACUCAUCGGAUACACAACCAAGUUGUUGGGCGCAACUUCGGAUCCUUCCAUCUUCUUCACCUUAUCCGGGUUACUCCGGGGGAAGUUUUCACUUCCACUCUCCUUCUUGCACAAUUUAUUGUAGUCUCUGAAGCUCACAAGAGGAACGAGGGUCCAGAAUCCAUACCUGACUUCCAAGACCAAGCACAAAUGUGCAUUCCUCCACAAACAAGAACGAUGGGUUGAGUUGAGGCAGCAUCCAAAGCAUGAGGGAAAUGGGUACCUGCAAUAAGAUGAAGGGAUUCAACCUGCCAAACAAGCCGCAAGGACAAAACAUGGUUCUUUCUUCGCGAAAAAAGGUUUAGCGUUUAUUAGUUGUUCACAAGUUUUGACCGUUUAAUUCAUGUGGCCUAGAACUAACUAAUCUUAGCCCACCAAAAGAGUCCAUAUGAACUUCCAUCUGCUUCCUCGGCUAGGAAACUCUUGCUUCCACAACCUAUGGGAUACCACCUUUAUUCGCUGAGAAGAUAUGUGUUCGUCCAAUACGGUGAAGCCACCAGGGUUCGAGCCCCGGUCACUGGAAAAUUAACAUUUCGGCAUUGCCAUGGACAGAAGACCGACACGUGACAACACGUGACUAGUCUGGAUCACUUAUAUGGGGCCAAGAUACCUAUGUUUAAUUCAAAAUAAAAUAUCUGUUCGUCAAGAGGGCGUGGUGGCUGGCUAUGGACAACAGCUCUACGGUUGUCAAUCGGGUUAUCCUCAGAAUCUUGGAACUGCUUAUCCUGGAAGUACAGUCAGUGGGGCAGAAGGGGUAUCUCAGAUUCCUUUGACCUCUCGCCAGCCAUCCAUCAUUAUUUGCAGGAAAGUCUCUUGUAGAUCUCAUUUAUCCACAGCCACUCAUUACAGAAAGCAUGGGUCGGUCUAUGGAGCAACUUCUCUUAACAGCUCUCAGCCUUUAAGCACACAAGGCGUAGGGCGUUGCAAAGUGAAACAACUGCUCGAUAUGCUGCUUCACAGUGUGACACUAUUCUCCACAUCCAAGAAAAAAACAGCUUUGUUCAGGACAUCCUUUAAGUGCUUAAACCGGGAGGUAAAGUACUCCAUCUCCUGAGUUUUCUGAGUACAUAAAACAGAGAGAUAUGAUCUCGAUGAUGUUCAAGCACAAGGCAGGCUUUAACGAUGUUAUCGCAGAGAACCGUUACUGAACAGUUUAGAAACUCCUGAGACUUGAAAUAGAGAAUGUGGAGAAAGAAAAGGAAGAUUUCAUCUCCGACUUCUCCAAAGUCAGUACCUUUCUGUUUCAAAAAAUCAUCUGGUUAGCAACAUCCAAAGCUGUAUCUAUUGAUUUACUGUUUUGAGUAUCUAAAUCUUAUAAAAUAAAUAGAUAAUUGGCAUGUAUGCCCAUAGAUGGAGUCUAUAUAAGCUAUUUACCCAUGGUAAAUUCAACAAUUUUUUCUUCC